UGGGGAAUAUUGGACAAUGGGCGAAAGCCUGAUCCAGCCAUGCCGCGUGUGUGAAGAAGGUCUUCGGAUUGUAAAGCACUUUAAGUUGGAGGAAGGGCAGUAAGCGAAUACCUUGCUGUUUUGACGUUACCGACAGAAUAAGCACCGGCUAACUCUGUGCCAGCAGCCGCGGUAAUACAGAGGGUGCAAGCGUUAAUCGGAAUUACUGGGCGUAAAGCGCGCGUAGGUGGUUCGUUAAGUUGAAUGUGAAAGCCCCGGGCUCAACCUGGGAACUGCAUCCAAAACUGGCGAGCUAGAGUAGGGCAGAGGGUGGUGGAAUUUCCUGUGUAGCGGUGAAAUGCGUAGAUAUAGGAAGGAACACCAGUGGCGAAGGCGACCACCUGGGCUCAUACUGACACUGAGGUGCGAAAGCGUGGGGAGCAAACAGG
rnacentral:rRNA from 1 species